UUAAUACCACCUGGAUCUAGAAAUCUCAUAUCAGCAUCUGGUGUCACAACAGAGAGCUUUUUAAAGCUGCUUCUGCACCUUAUGGUGUCACUACCGAGUGCCCUGGAGGCUCUGAAGUUCUGGAAGCUUCCCUGUCCCUUACUGCCAAGCCUCCCUGUCUCCUGCAGCUGCCGGGGCUGGUGGACUACAGGAAGGGAGCUCCCAGGCUGAAGGCACAGGCUCGAGACUUUAGCAUCCUUGGGGACCCCACCUUUCCUUACCUUAGGUGAAUUGCACCAUGACCCUGUCCUUAGUUUUCCCAAGAGGAUCUAAAAGAUUCCAGAAUCCCAGGGUUUGAACUUGUGUCAUCCAAGGAGCUCAAGCACUCACUCAUAUGGUAAGUCCAGCGCUCUUGUUCACCCGGGACUGGGUGGAGAAGGAUUGAGGGAGAAGCAUCUGCCCUGACCGCGAAUGGUCUAGGGUUUCUUUUGGGGGUAAUGGAAAUGUUCUAGAAUUAGAUUGCGGUGAUGGUUGCAUAACAUAGCAAGAAUACUAAAACCCACCAAAUUAUAUGCUUUAAAACGGUGCAUUUAAUGUUAUGGGAAUUACAUUUUAAUAAAAAGAAAAUAGGUAAAAAGAAAGCAAGCAAACAUCUGCCCAGGUUAAGAGCAACAGGUUCUGAGAAUGAAGUUUCACUUCCAUCUGUGUUCAGCGCAGGUGGGCUCAGGAGACCAGCAUACUCACGACGCCUCACUUAGACCUCUGUUGCCCAAACCUUACACUGCAGGGCAAAGCUACCACUAUGGACCCUUUGGGAAACCAGCGUGUUCACUGUAUGACACAGAGUUACUUUUGCAUCCUGAUGUACUUUGGGGUCCCAGGCCUGGAACCUGAUUUCAUACAUGAUGUGGCAGAUACUGGUGGCUGCCUACCCAAUCCCCAGUCCCCUGUUCUUCCUUACUAAACAGUACCCUUGCUUUUAUUCUAGGCAUCAAUGCACUUAGCUAAAAGACUACAUUUCCCAUUGGCCAAGGGUUGCCAAUGAGCAUGAAGCUACAGGCCCUUGGGUGGGGCUUCCAGGAAAGCUCUUUUAAAGGGGGUCAACUCACUAAAGGCCUCUCUCUCUUCUUUGCCCUCCCUCCUUCCUGUCUGGGACACAAAUGUGAUGGCUGGAGCUCUAGCAGCUAUCUCGGAUCAUGAGAUGAGACAACUUUGAGGAUGGAAACCAUGGUUGAGGAAGAGGAAGAGCAAGAGUGAGAAGUCAGUUAGCUUCUCUGGACUUGUCUUUCCUCAUCCACCAGAUGGAGGAGUUGAACCCAAUGACCUGGAUGUUCUUGGUGAUGGAAGUUCACUCCUGCACACACCAGCUUGGCAUCUUCUUUGCAAUAGAAGCCCAACCGGGGAGGCUGCAAAUGUUAGAAUCCAAUCUGUACUGACAGGUCUUGAAUGCUUUAGGUGCCACACUGGCUGGCCAUUAAGGGUCGUGAUGAAAAAUCCCAGGAAGCUGAAGAGUGAACAUGAUCAUAAUCUCUAAAAUGAUAAAGCAAUAAGAGGCUGGGAGAUGUAUCCAAAGUCUCUGUGCCUGGUCCAGAGGUCAUUCAAACCCAGCUUUGUCCUGGAAGCACGUUCUUUCCACUCACCACCCAGAACACCAUCUUCCUCUCUCUCUCAAAAUAUCCAAGAUGGGAGAGGAGGAUAGACAGCCAGAUAGACUUGCUCUGAGCAAAACCAACAAAUGCUAUCAGAGCCACAAGGAUUUGAGUGACCCACAGCUCCCCAGGAGAAGGCACGAGGGCAUCUACGUGCACACAAGCAACUGCUCGGCUGGCUCCUGGAACCCGGCCCAUUCCACAUGAACUGAAGAUAAAUCUCACUGGUGACCACCUGAAGGGUGAGUUGGAUGGGGGACAGAGUGGACACUGGAGACUCUGGAAAGAUGUUGGUUGGAGAGCACCGUCAUGACCCCCUGUCCUUUCCUCUCUGCUGGGAUCAUUGACCAGUAAGACAAACGUGGCUCCCUGUUGGAGCCUGGAGAGGGAUCCCAAACACAUCCGGAGCUUUGAGCAUGACAGGAAUGGGAUUUUACCAUGUUUGCCCAGGCUGGU